rnacentral:misc_RNA from 1 species
CCGAGUUUACAACUCCCAAACCCUGUGAACAUACCUAUACGUUGCCUCGGCGGAUCAGCCCGCGCCCUGUAAAACGGGACGGCCCGCCCGAGGACCCUAAACUCUGUUUUUAGUGGAACUUCUGAGUAAAACAAACAAAUAAAUCA